rnacentral:rRNA from 1 species
UACGGAGGGUGCGAGCGUUGUUCGGAAUUAUUGGGCGUAAAGGGCGCGUAGGCGGCUUGUUGUGUCAAAGGUGAAAUCCCUCGGCUCAACUGAGGAACUGCCUUUGAAACUGUCUGGCUUGAGGCCGGGAGAGGGUAGCGGAAUUCCCAGUGUAGCGGUGAAAUGCGUAGAUAUUGGGAGGAACACCAGUGGCGAAGGCAGCCUUCUGGGCCAACACUGACGCUCAUGCACGAAAGCGUGGGGAGCAAACAGG